CUGCUUAGUCACAAAGUUACGCAGAUCUUUGUGUGCCGUGAAUACUGUUCAAAUGACUAAGAUGUAGUUUUUCUCCGUCCUUGAAUCAGGCUCCACCUGGCACUGCAAGGAGAAAAAGAAGGUCAGAAUCAAGGAAGCAAUUUGCAGACUCGUCGGCAAGACCUAGUCCUCGUGGUUUUGGGGCCGGGAACUAAGAUUAAAAGUUUGAAAACUCAACAUUGCAAGACCCUUAAAGCUCAAUGUUCAUAUGAUUUGCUACUAUACUUGCGGGUCCAUUUUUGCUCUCUAGUAAACUUGAAGAAAUUUUUCCUCAAGAAUUUUCUUAUUCUUCUUCCCAUUUUUCUCCUGAGAAAAAGGGACUGCUGGCAAUAGUAGUUGCUGAAGGUCAUAAUAUAUUUUGAUGAGAAAUCAAAUGCAUAGUUUUAGUUGGGACUUGGGAUAUUAUCCACUGCUGAAAAUUGGGUUUGGUGCUGCCACUCAGUUACAUGUACAGGUUAAUUUUCUACUGUUUAAUUUCCCUUUCUACUCUUAUUGUGGAAUUUUCUUAUUGUGUUAACAGUGCUUUUUUCCCCAAAAAAUGAAAUAAAAUUGUGUAAUCAACUCGAAAUUUGUAGAGAAUAAUA
rnacentral:lncRNA from 1 species